rnacentral:tRNA from 1 species
UUCUUCGUGGUGUAGUGGUUAGCACGCUCGACGCGUAACCGAGAGGUCCGUGGUUCGAUUCCCGGUGAAGGCG